UACAGAGGAGCCAAGCGUUGUCCGGAUUGACUGGGCGUAAAGCGCACGCAGGCGGUGGUGCGCGUGGGGUGUGAAAUCUGGCCGCUUAACGGCCAGGCGCCAUCCCAUACGGCACGACUGGAGGGCUGCAGAGGUCGAUGGAAUUGCCGGUGUAGUGGUGAAAUGCGUAGAGAUCGGCAGAAACACCCAGGGGGAAACCAGUCGACUGGGCAGCACCUGACGCUGAGGUGCGAGAGCGUGGGGAGCGAACCGG
rnacentral:rRNA from 1 species